rnacentral:rRNA from 1 species
AUACGGAGGGGGCUAGCGUUGUUCGGAAUUACUGGGCGUAAAGCGCGCGUAGGCGGAUGAUCAAGUUGGGGGUGAAAGCCCGAGGCUCAACCUCGGAACUGCCCUCAAAACUGAUUGUCUCGAGUACGGGAGAGGUGAGUGGAAUUCCUAGUGUAGAGGUGAAAUUCGUAGAUAUUAGGAAGAACACCAGUGGCGAAGGCGACUGUCUGGGCCAUUUCUGACGCUAAGACGCGAAAGCGUGGGGAGCAAACAGGAUUAGAUACCCCAGUAGUCC